UACGAGGGGGCAAAUGUUGUUCGGAAUCACUGGGCGUAAAGGGAGCGUAGGCGGGUGUUUAAGUUAGGUGUUAAUCCUGGGGCCCAACCCCAGUCGUGCACCUAAAACUGGACAUCUUGAAUAGUGGAGAGGUCAGUGGAAUUGGGGUGUAGCGGUGGAAUGCGUAGAGAUCCGGAAGAACACCGGUGGCGAAGGCGGCCUGCUGGGCGAGUAGCUGACGCUGAUGCGCGACAGGCG
rnacentral:rRNA from 1 species